rnacentral:rRNA from 1 species
GAUGAACGCUGGCGGCGUGCCUAAUACAUGCAAGUCGAGCGAACAGACGAGGAGCUUGCUCCUCUGACGUUAGCGGCGGACGGGUGAGUAACACGUGGAUAACCUACCUAUAAGACUGGGAUAACUUCGGGAAACCGGAGCUAAUACCGGAUAAUAUAUUGAACCGCAUGGUUCAAUAGUGAAAGACGGUUUUGCUGUCACUUAUAGAUGGAUCCGCGCCGCAUUAGCUAGUUGGUAAGGUAGCGGCUUACCAAGGCAACGAUGCGUAGCCGACCUGAGAGGGUGAUCGGCCACACUGGAACUGAGACACGGUCCAGACUCCGACGGGAGGCAGCAGUAGGGAAUCUUCCGCAAUGGGCGAAAGCCUGACGGAGCAACGCCGCGUGAGUGAUGAAGGUCUUCGGAUCGUAAAACUCUGUUAUUAGGGAAGAACAAAUGUGUAAGUAACGAUGCACGUCUUGACGGUACCUAAUCAGAAAGCCACGGCUAACUACGU